GUCAAUCUCGAGAUGGUCGACCUAGUUUGGAUCUGGUUAGCUUCUGAUCGGUCUAGAGAUGAUCGGCCUAGUUCUAAUCUAGAUGAAGAGGUCGAGAGUAUUAUUCUUAAUAAGGGUGUGGCAUUGUCCUCGAGGAUCUCUUGAUCGGUAAGAUCCUUGAGAAGGCUAGGAUGUCAAUGGCAAUGCUAGUGUAAUCGUGGCUGAGGAGAUCAAUGAUGACAGCAUUAGGGGCA
rnacentral:lncRNA from 1 species